AGAACUUUAAGCCUCUUCUCUAUUUGUAAGAGCCAUUGCUCAACUAUUGUUGGAGAAAGUCCUCCUCAGAAGGCAGGUAGAUUCAAUCCUAUAAACUACUUAAUCAGCUUCCAUUAUUUGGCUCAGCUAGCUACGACGCAUUUACAUAUGCAUGAUUCUGAUUGCCACUAUGGUCACCAUUAGGAUUAUGGGCCAUGUU
rnacentral:lncRNA from 1 species